UGAAGAUCUGGUUUCUGGUUUCACUUAUCACAAAGCAAAACUCAAGGUUUUCAUGGGGAUUCGGUCCUUCCGGAUGUUCGAGUCACCACCACCAACACCCCAAUUCCGAGGGCUAAGGAGUCAGAAACCGGCCGUCGGCUCUCAGGCACGGCGCGGACGAGUCACUCUGAGCCGGCUUCUGGGUCAUCAACUCUCUCUGAUUCUUCCCAUAAGCAAGCCCACCUUGCCUCGGCCUGUCUGGCUUCGGCCCUCCUCCUAUGCGCCCCUUCACCAUUGCAGAGCCAGCCGCUCACCUGUCCGGAGCCACUCACCGGGACUGAACCUUCCGCGCCCCACGGACACCAGAGCUCAACUCCGGCUUCCACCGCCAAGUCCACCUCAGCUCACAGUCGAUUGGUCACCGCUCCGAAACGUCAUUUCGCGGCGCCAUGCUCUAGCCAAUCAGAGAGCGCUUCUCUGGCUGACCCGAGAAAGUGAAACAGUCAGAAAAGCUGCGCCUCCAUCUUUGAAUAGGGCAAGGCUGUGGUUUCUCACCCAACAAACUUUAGAAUGUAGAAUUCCUCAGGAUACAUACUUUCUUGAAUAUAUCCUGAAAUUUUUCUCCUUCACAGAACCUCGGCGCCUGCGGAACCGUCAUCCAAAUGCAUCCAGCACUCCUCAGGGGACCGCCCUGACACAACAUGACGUCUGUUUGCCUCAGGGGGAAGUCCCUCUCAUCGCCUAGCUACCGGGAAGCGAGAAGAGGGACGCGUAGCCCGGAGUUGUCCGGAGAGGCCCUCAGCCUGCGGGAAGGGGCUAGGAGGGGACAGAGAGUCUCGGCCGCUAGUUGGUGAUCUUUUUGAGCUCAGCAAGUGCGGGUGCGGGUCCUCUCUUCGCGGUACAAAACUUUCCCUUCUCGUUGCUGCUGUGGUUUCUGUGCUCAAUAAAAACUGUUUCUGGUGAACAUCCUCCUGCCAUUCCCCAGCAAGGAAGUGAGUAAUUGGGGAUGGUCUUAUUCAGACACUUAAGGAAACUAUCAGAGUCCGUUUUGAUGGGUAACACAGCUUUUUCUGUGACCGCCGCAGUCAUUUUUACACUUUCUUACAAGUGGCAAAAAUAAAUAAAUAAAUAAAUAGCAGCAAAUUCAGCGAGUGUGUAGUGCCUGCAGCGGCCAGAAGAAUCUAUUGUGUAUCCUCUAACACGGGUGCUAGGAACUGAACUCCAGCAGUAUACACAUAGCCACUCAACCAACCCUUCAUCCCGCCAACUAAAAUCUUACAGUUAUGCUAAGACAUGUUAUUCAAAGAGUACCCAUUAAAUAACCCAGUUUCCUACUAAUGCAAACUUUUCUUUAAGACAGAGCCUAGCUGUAGGUUUGGCUGGCCUGGAACUCAGGAAGCCCUGCUUUCUUCUAUCUUCCUAUGCCUCCUCAAUUUAAAAGCACACGCCAUCACACCCGGCUAAAUCAAACUUUUUGACGUCUAUAAAUCAUAGGGACUUAAGUUUAAAUAGGUGGUACUAUAAAAUAUUACUGUUUGCAUUACAAUCUUUAAAAUAAAUUUACAUUUUCUCAUCAUCAUAAACAUAACAAUGUUAAUGAUGGCAUGUUUAAAACCUUAAAUUAUGUUUGGGAAAUGCAGUUAUCUCUUCCUAAGGUAAAAUGUAAAAUAAAAUAUACAUGUUCGUUAUAUCUAACGCUGAAAAAAAGAAGUCGCUUUUUAAAUAACAAACACUAAUAUGAUUUUAUUUGUCAAAUAUUUCCCUUUCAAUUUUUGGACCUGGAUUAUUUCUACACUAGUAAUUUCUGUAGAGAGGAUUUUUUUUUAAUUGCAUGUUCAAAAUAUACAAGAUUGAAUGUCCUUACUUGGGGGAAUUUAGAAGUAUUUUAUUUAUAUAAGAGAAUACUUGCAGGGCAAUAGUGGUGCAUGCCUUUAAUCGAAGCACUCAGGAGGCAGAGUCAAGGAGAUGUCUGUGAGUUCCAGGCCAGCCUAGUCUACAGAGUUAAUUCCAGGACAGCCAGGGCUACACAGAGAAACCUUGUCACGAAAAACAAAACAAACAAAGUACUUGUUUCUGUAACACAGAUCUUUUAAUUGGAGAAAUAUAAUAAUUUAACUUAUUGUGACUCAACGCGGGUAGCAAGAUAUCCUGUUCUCUCACAGAAACAGAUGUAAGUCUUUUCGUUUUCAUUCUAGCCAGGCAGACACACUGACAUAUAAAGAACAUACAGCUUUAGUUCUACAGUCUCAGCCCCAGGUCCAAAAAAAAAAAAAAAAAAAAAA